GAUGAACGCUGGCGGCGUGCCUAAUACAUGCAAGUCGAGCGAACAGACGAGGAGCUUGCUCCUCUGACGUUAGCGGCGGACGGGUGAGUAACACGUGGAUAACCUACCUAUAAGACUGGGAUAACUUCGGGAAACCGGAGCUAAUACCGGAUAAUAUAUUGAACCGCAUGGUUCAAUAGUGAAAGACGGUUUUGCUGUCACUUAUAGAUGGAUCCGCGCCGCAUUAGCUAGUUGGUAAGGUAACGGCUUACCAAGGCAACGAUGCGUAGCCGACCUGAGAGGGUGAUAGGCCACACUGGAACUGAGACACGGUCAAGACUCCUAAGGGAGGCAGCAGUAGGGAAUCUUACGCAAUGGGCGAAAGCCUGACGGAGCAACGCAGCGUGAGUGAUGAAGGUCUUCGGAUCGUAAAACUCUGUUAUUAGGGAAGAACAAAUGUGUAAGUAACUAUGCACGUCUUGACGGUAACUAAUCAGAAAGCCACGGCUAACUACGUG
rnacentral:rRNA from 1 species